AUGUUCCGGAUAUUUUGGUAAAAUAAUAAUUAAUUAAAUAUGAAUAAAUAAUAAUAAAAUCUAAUAUAGUUGUAUUUCUUUGCAUGGAAACAAAAACUUGCUGUUAUUUAUAGUUAAUUAUGUUAUGAUUUUAUUGGUGCUGCCCACUUAACAUCUAAUCAGGUUGUAUGCGGCCCAUGAACCAAAAUGAGUUUGACACCCCUGCUUUAAGGCUUCGUAACAAACUGUGUUACAUUUUAUUUAAUGGGAUUUUUAACUUAAAUAUUUUUCCGCAUAGUAGAAAUAACUUUUUCUUGAUCUUUAGACAAAGCAAAAAAGCAGGCAAGUGCUAAAAUUUAAAUGGGGAAUUUUUUUAUUUUUUUUUAUUUUCGAAAUUCAAUUAAUUGAGUUGUAUUUUUUUCCUAUGACCUACUUUGCCUUGCUUGUUUACCUGUCAGUGUUCUGAGGAGGGGGGGGGGGGGGUUAUGAGGUGUUCAUAGCCGUCACCUCGGUGUACUUGAUCACCCCUCGGUGAUUUUGUUACAUUGCUGUUUUGCACACUUUGUGUUGCUGGAUCAUUUCUAACAGGUUUCCUGUUUGCUGCUGAAACAUUUUGUCAUCUUAUUUUAAAACCUUCUUUUUUCUUUUCUUUCUUUUUUUUUUUUAAAUUAAAAGACCUCUAUUUUUGACUGAACUCAUUAAGAACCGAGGAAGUCGUUUCACCGGCGACGUCGUCGCUAAGUGAGGUCUGACUAAUGUGUCGUCGUGUUACGAGACAUUAGCUGUCGGCGGUCGGUGUCGCAGAAUGGCUCUUCCCCUGAAAGAGAGAACUUUCCGGUCCUAAUUGUUUCCAUUUUGUCGGAGCAGCACCGUUGAACUAAUUUGCCGCCCGUGAAGCCAUUAAUCCUUACUAUUUUAGUAGGAUCUCACGUUGUUGUUGUGCUCGGUCUAGUGUUGUGAGUGACGAUGACGAAUUAAUUGAUUUUACAUUAAAAUCAAGGUAAUGUUA